rnacentral:rRNA from 1 species
UACGGAGGGUGCAAGCGUUACCCGGAAUCACUGGGCGUAAAGGGCGUGUAGGCGGAACGUUAAGUCCGACUUUAAAGACCGAGGCUCAACCUCGGAAGUGGGUUGGAUACUGGCAUUCUUGACCUCUGGAGAGAGAACCGGAAUUCCUGGUGUAGCGGUGGAAUGCGUAGAUACCAGGAGGAACACCGAUGGCGAAGGCAGGUUCUUGGACAGAAGGUGACGCUGAGGCG